CCUACGGGUGGCAGCAGUGAGGAAUAUUGGUCAAUGGGCGCGAGCCUGAACCAGCCAAGUCGCGUGAAGGAUGACGGAUCUACGGAUUGUAAACUUCUUUUGUAAAGGAAUAAAGUGAGGUACGCGUGCCGUUUUGUAUGUACUUUAUGAAUAAGGAUCGGCUAACUCCGUGCCAGCAGCCGCGGUAAUACGGAGGAUCCGAGCGUUAUCCGGAUUUAUUGGGUUUAAAGGGGGCGUAGAUGGUUUGUUAAGUGAGUAGUGAAAGUUUGGGGCUCAACCGUAUAAUUGCAAUUGAAACUGGCGGCCUUGAGUACAGUUGAGGCAGGCGGAAUGCGUGGUGUAGCGGUGAAAUGCUUAGAUAUCACGAAGAACCCCGAUUGCGAAGGCAGCCUGCUAAGCCGCCACUGACACUGAUGCACGAAAGCGUGGGGAUCGAACAGGAUUAGAUACCCGUGUAGUC
rnacentral:rRNA from 1 species